rnacentral:rRNA from 1 species
GAAGGGGGCUAGCGUUGCUCGGAAUGACUGGGCGUAAAGGGCGCGCAGGCGGUUUGGACAGUCAGAUGUGAAAUUCCCGGGCUUAACCUGGGGGCUGCAUUUGAUACGUUCAGACUAGAGUGUGAAAGAGGGUUGUGGAACUCCAGGUGUAGUGGUGAAAUUCGUAGAUAUUUGGAAGAACACCGGUGGCGAAGGCGGCGACCUGGUUCACAACUGACGCUGAGGCGCGAAAGCGUGGGGAGCAAACAGGAUUAGAUACCCUGGUAGUCCACGCUGUAAACGAUGUAUGCUAGAUGUUAGGCAACCUAGUUGUUUAGUGUCGGAGCUAACGCGAUAAGCAUACCGCCUGGGGAGUACGGCCGCAAGGUUG